AAGUGUUACAGCUCUUUUAGAAUUUGUCUAGCAGGCUUUCCGGUUUUUUGUCGGAAAGCCCUU
rnacentral:snRNA from 1 species